UCCUAGGUGACUGAGGGAAAGUGCUAGACUUUUAAUCUAGAGACAGCAUAUACUAUAAAUGCUCCUAGGAA
rnacentral:tRNA from 1 species